UUAGGAAUCUUGCGCAAUGGGGGAAACCCUGACGCAGCCAUGCCGCGUGAAUGAUGACGGUCUUAGGAUUGUAAAAUUCUUUCAGCGGGGACGAUAAUGACGGUACCCGCAGAAGAAGCCCCGGCUAACUUCGUGCCAGCAGCCGCGGUAAUACGAAGGGGGCUAGCGUUGCUCGGAAUUACUGGGCGUAAAGGGCGCGUAGGCGGAUGUUUAAGUCAGCGGUGAAAGCCCAGGGCUCAACCUUGGAACUGCCAUUGAUACUGGACAUCUUGAGUACGGGAGAGGUGAGUGGAACACCGAGUGUAGAGGUGAAAUUCGUAGAUAUUCGGUAGAACACCAGUGGCGAAGGCGACUCACUGGCCCGUUACUGACGCUGAGGCGCGAAAGCGUGGGGAGCAAACAGGAUUAGAUACCCGGGUAGUCC
rnacentral:rRNA from 1 species